GCGGGCGUGGUGUACGGAACACCUCUGCAUUGAAUAAAAUGUUGAGUUAUGAGAUUGAUUCGGCAGAUGCUCGGGGUUCGACUCCCCGCGCCCGCG